GAUGAACGCUGGCGGCGUGCUUAACACAUGCAAGUCGAACGGUGAACGAGGGAGCUUGCUCCCUCCGGAUCAGUGGCGAACGGGUGAGUAACACGUGAGCAAUCUGCCCUGGACUCUGGGAUAAGCGUUGGAAACGACGUCUAAUACCGGAUACGAGACGCGAAGGCAUCUUCGGCGUCUGGAAAGAACUUCGGUCCAGGAUGAGCUCGCGGCCUAUCAGGUAGUUGGUGAGGUAACGGCUCACCAAGCCUACGACGGGUAGCCGGCCUGAGAGGGUGACCGGCCACACUGGGGCUGAGACACGGCCCAGACUCCUACGGGAGGCAGCAGUGGGGAAUAUUGCACAAUGGGCGCAAGCCUGAUGCAGCAACGCCGCGUGAGGGACGACGGCCUUUGGGUUGUAAACCUCUUUUAGCAGGAAAGAAGCGAAAGUGACGGUACCUGCAGAAAAAGCGCCGGCUAACUACGUGCCAGCCGCCGCGGUAACAC
rnacentral:rRNA from 1 species